UACGGGGGGGGCAAGCGUUGUUCGGAAUUACUGGGCGUAAAGGGCUCGUAGGUGGCCAACUAAGUCAGACGUGAAAUCCCCGGGCUCAACCUGGGAAUUGCAUUCGAAACUGCGAGGCUAGGGUACGGAAGAGGGAAGCGGAAUUUCUGGUGUAGCGGUGAAAUGCGUAGAUAUCAGAAGGAACAUCAGUGGCGAAAGCGGCUUCCUGGUCCAGUACCGACGUUCAGGCACGAAAGCGUGGGGAGCAAACAGG
rnacentral:rRNA from 1 species